rnacentral:lncRNA from 1 species
UGAUGUGAGAUUCUGCCCAACAGUAGCUAAACGACUCGGAGUCUUUAACAGAUUGGGUGAUGUCCACCCACCUUGAAAAGGGCAAUCUACUUUGUUCAACUCACUGAAUCAAAUACUGAUCUCAGAAACACUCUCACAAAGAUAUCCAGAAAUAAUGCAUAGGAGUUCAAGACCAGCCUGGCCAACAAUGGUGAAACCCUGUCUCUACUGAAAAUACAAAAAUCAGCCAGAAAUAUAUCAUCCUUUCUUUGAGACUUUUUUUGUUGAUUCAUUGAAAACCAGCAUAGUCAGGAGAUUGGGUUCUUCCACUGAAGACAUUUAUCAGACUGUUUCAAAUUGCCUUGGCUUGGAGACAGAUAUAGUCAGUUUCAGUAAAAGCACUAUUUAUUUUAAAAGGAAAUAUUCUUUUUAAAAAUACUAAUUAAAAUUUAUUUCUCAGACUUAGCUUUGUAUUAAGGAUACAUUUUCUAUCACCAUUAUUUUACUUUAACAAUGUAUAAAAACAGUACAAAUAUAUA